rnacentral:misc_RNA from 1 species
GCAAAACUUGCUUCCAUAAAUACCACAACAAAAACAAAGUAAAGAAAAAGGCAUGUCAAUUUGCAAAUUCAACGAAACAUUUUAUUUUCAGCCAACCAAAAAAGAAAAAGAAGUAAAAAUAUUCAACCAUCAAAAGAGAGCCUUUUGGUGUGUCUUUCUACUUUCUAUUCUCUACCUAAAUUUUCAAUGCUGAUGUUGUGAUCAUAUUCCACUUCCACAUUUAACCAUAUGCUUUGCAUUCUCUUCUAAAGCCAAACUUGACUUAUAUGCUAGAACCUACAUAUCUCACAGUUCAUCCUUAGCGUCAUUAGUGGUGCUCUCGUGGCUUAAACUGGCAUCAGACUCUGUAGUUCUCUGUGUUGAGACUGGCUUUUGAAUCUUGAACGGGGUAGAUGCAUGCUUUUUCAGGAAUUUGUAAAAGGCAACAACUGUACGAUCUGUGUCAACAGUAAUAGGUUCAAAGCUCUUGUUGCCAGCUGGGAAGAACAGAAGUGUUGGGAAUCCAUCAGACUUCGCUCUGGGAUGCUCGUUUGUUGUACCAUCCAUCUUGGCAAUAACAAGGGAGUCAAUGCCUCUUAAAUGCUUGCCAAGCUUGUUGUAUAUGGGUUCUAGUGAUUGACAAUGUCCACACCAAGGAGCA